rnacentral:rRNA from 1 species
GACGAACGCUGGCGGCGUGCUUAACACAUGCAAGUCGAGCGGUAAGGCCCUUUCGGGGGUACACGAGCGGCGAACGGGUGAGUAACACGUGGGUGACCUGCCCUUAGCUCUGGGAUAAGCCUGGGAAACUGGGUCUAAUACCGGAUAUGACUCCAUGACGCAUGUUGUGGGGUGGAAAGCCUUGUGCGGCUAGGGAUGGGCCCGCGGCCUAUCAGCUUGUUGGUGGGGUGAUGGCCACCAAGGCGACGACGGGUAGCCGGCCUGAGAGGGCGACCGGCCACACUGGGACUGAGACACGGCCCAGACUCCUACGGGAGGCAGCAGUGGGGAAUCUUGCGCAAUGGGCGAAAGCCUGACGCAGCGACGCCGCGUGAGGGAUGACGGCCUCGGUUGUAACU